rnacentral:rRNA from 1 species
GCCUGGCGGCAGUCUACCAUGCAAGUCGAACGGUAACAGGAAACAGCUUGCUGCUUCGCUGACGAGUGGCGGACGGGAAAGUAAUGUCUGGGAAACUGCCUGAUGGAGGGGGAUAACUACUGGAAACGGUAGCUAAUACCGCAUAACGUCGCAAGACCAAAGAGGGGGACCUUCGGGCCUCUUGCCAUCGGAUGUGCCCAGAUGGGAUUAGCUUGUUGGUGGGGUAACGGCUCACCUAGGCGACGAUCCCUAGCUGGUCUGAGAGGAUGACCAGCCACACUGGAACUGAGACACGGUCCAGACUCCUACGGGAGGCAGCAGUGGGGAAUAUUGCACAAUGGGCGCAAGCCUGAUGCAGCCAUGCCGCGUGUAUGAAGAAGGCCUUCGGGUUGUAAAGUACUUUCAGCGGGGAGGAAGGGAGUAAAGUUAAUACCUUUGCUCAUUGACGUUACCCGCAGAAGAAGCACCGGCUAACUCCGUGCCAGCAGCCGCGGUAAUACGGAGGGUGCAAGCGUUAAUCGGAAUUACUGGGCGUAAAGCGCACGCAGGCGGUUUGUUAAGUCAGAUGUGAAAUCCCCGGGCUCAACCUGGGAACUGCAUCUGAUACUGGCAAGCUUGAGUCUCGUAGAGGGGGGUAGAAUUCCAGGUGUAGCGGUGAAAUGCGUAGAGAUCUGGAGGAAUACCGGUGGCGAAGGCGGCCCCCUGGACGAAGACUGACGCUCAGGUGCGAAAGCGUGGGGAGCAAACAGGAUUAGAUACCCUGGUAGUCCACGCCGUAAACGAUGUCGACUUGGAGGUUGUGCCCCUUGAGGCGUGGCUUCCGGAGCUAACGCGUUAAGUCGACCCGCCUGGGGGAGUACGGCCCGCAAGGUUAAAAACUUCAAAUGAAUUUGACCGGGGGGCCCCCGCACAAGCCGGGUGGGAGCAUGGUGGUUUUAAUUUCCGAUUGGCAACCGCGAAAGAAACCUUUACCUUGGUUCUUUGACCCAUCCCACGAGAAGCUUUCUCAAGAAGAAUGGAAAAAAUGGUGCCCCUCUCGGGGAAACCUCGUGAGAACAGGUGCCUGGCCAUGCUGCUCGUUCAGCCUUCGCUGGUUUUGUGUGGAAAAAAAGAUGUGUCG